UGCCAGAACUUAAAUCAAUCACUGUCCUCUCUCUACAGGUCAUAUUUAAACUUGCUUUGUCCACCCCAGGGCAAUCCCUGGCCUUGCCGUCUGCCCUGGGAUCUCUCCAGUGCUCCCCAAAACUGGGCCUGUCCUGAGAGGCUGCUUGGCUCACUAACUCCUCUCUCCCUGGGUCAAAAGAACAAGGUCAAGACCCGCCGGGGCCUGGGGACCCUCCCAGGGCAGCUGUCCCGCGGGAGGGCCGCCCCACCCCUCGCCACCCUCACCCCGACAGGCUCCGGGCCGCGGGGCAGGGCGGCGGGAACCGUUUUCUGGCCGGAGAAGCGCCCGACGGUGCCCGGCGCCGGGAUUCACGGGUGCGCGGGGAUCGCAUCUGCGAAGCAGCCUCCCUGCCGUGGAGGAGGGAAGAUGCCCCCGGAUUAGACAGUAGGAUGACAAGAUGAUCCAGGCAGAAAAGAUGAUGUCACAGUUGUUUCUUGAGAUCGGUGGAGGAUGGUCCCUCGGAGGCCUGUAAGGGGUGCCUGGGGUAAGUCACACUUCACUAGGCUCCUUCUGCUAUUUAAAA